CAACACCUCACUUCUCUAUAAAAGUGCUGUAUUGAUAGCAGUUCACACAUUUUCGCUGUACACGAAAAGGACCAGACAACUAAAAACUGCCAUCAAGAAUUAGCACACAAUUGGCAGAAAAAUAACUGAAGAUGGGGGCUGGUGGAAGUAACGAGGAUCCGGUUGAUCGGGCACAGCGUCGAGCUGAGAAAGAAAGCAACCGGGCAGACCAGGCUGACCAGGCAUACCGUCGAGCUGAGGCAGAACGCAACCGGGCUGAGCAAGGACGACAACAAAUCCAGGAUCAAUUUAAUAUUUUACGACAAGAGAAAGAGAUAGCGAGAAUGAAAGAAGAAGACAAGAGGAAAGUGACUGAAGAGAAUAGGUCUAGAGAACAACAAGAAAAGAACAGAAUUCAAAAUAGUUCUUAAUUAAUAUUACUACUAAUACUGAAAUCCUUUUAAUGUAUAAUCAAAACUUUGUUUAUGAACUAGAAAUACCACAUGGCACAGUUAUUAAUAUGCAAUGGAAAAUUAAUUAUUGAGAAAUUUUACCAAUAAAGCCAACAUCAUUUCUUAAAA